rnacentral:rRNA from 1 species
UACGGAGGGGGCUAGCGUUGUUCGGAAUUACUGGGCGUAAAGCGCACGUAGGCGGCUUUGUAAGUUAGAGGUGAAAGCCCAGGGCUUAACCCUGGAAUUGCCUUUAAGACUGCAUCGCUAGAAUCGUGGAGAGGUGAGUGGAAUUCCGAGUGUAGCGGUGAAAUGCGUAGAUAUCGGAAGGAACAUCAGUGGCGAAAGCGACUUCCUGGACCAAUACUGACGCUCAUGUGCGAAAGCGUGGGGAGCAAACAGG